GUCUCAGUAGGAUAGUAGUUAGUGCACUGCCCCGGAUAGGACGAGACGUGGGUUCGAAUCCCGCCUGAGAUG
rnacentral:tRNA from 1 species